CAACAAUAAUGUUGCUUCCCGGUGUCGGGAGGCAUCCUUAUCUCGUGGUAACACGAGAGCUUAUGCCCUAGUAAAUGGCCUUGCCAAUGGGGAGAAUCCCUAUUGGUUGCCAAAGCCAGAUCACUCUGGUUCAAUGUCGGGGCGCAAAAUCACUUGCUUACGACUUGUAUACUGGUCAAGGUGUUGUAUCCAGUAGAGCAGUCUCUUUAUACUGCGAUCUGUUGAGACUAUCCUUUGAUUGGAUGUUUUGU
rfam:Heterorhabditis bacteriophora unplaced genomic scaffold Scaffold400, whole genome shotgun sequence.